CACGGUCUCCCUCUCCCUCUCUUUCCACGGUCUCCCACUGAUGCCGAGCCAAAGCUGGACUGUACUGCUGCCAUCUCGGCUCACUGCAGCCUCCCUGCCUGAUUCUCCUGCCUCAGCCUGCCGAGUGCCUGCGAUUGCAGGCGCGCGCCACCACGCCUGACUGGUUUUCGUAUUUUUUUGGUGGAGACGGGGUUUCGCUGUGUUGGCCGGGCUGGUCUCCAGCUCCUAACUGCAAGUGAUCCGCCAGCCUCGGCCUCCUGAGGUGCCGGGAUUGCAGACGGAGUCUGGUUCACUCAGUGCUCAAUGGUGCCCAGGCUAGAGUGCAGUGGCGUGAUCUCGGCUCGCUACAACCUCCACCUCCCAGCCGCCUGCCUUGGCCUCCCAAAGUGCCAAGAUUGCAGCCUCUGCCCGGCCGCCACCCCGUCUGAGAAGUGAGGAGACCCUCCGCCUGGCAACCGCCCCAUAUGAGAAGUGAGGAGCCCCUCCGCCCGGCAGCCACCCCGUCUGGGAAGUGAGGAGCGUCUCUGCCCGGCACCCACCCCAUCCGGGAGGGAGGUGGGGGGAUCAGCCCCCCGCCCGGCCAGCCGCCCCGUCUGGGAGGGAGGUGGGGGGGUCAGCCCCCUGCCCGGCCAGCCACCCCGUCCGGGAGGUGAGGGGCGCCUCUGCCCGGCCGCCCCUACUGGGAAGUGAGGAUCCCCUCUGCCCGGCCAGCCGCCCCGUCCGGGAAGGAGGUGGGGGGGUCAGCCCCCCGCCCGGCCAGCCGCCCCAUCCGGGAGGAAGAUGGGGGGGUCAGCCCCCCACCCGGCCAGCCACCCCGUCCGGGAGGGAGGUGGGGGGGUCAGCUCCCCGCCCGGCCAGCCGCCCCGUCCGGGAGGUGAGGGGCGCCUCUGCCCGGCUGCCCCUACUGGGAAGUGAGGAGCCCCUCUGCCCAGCCACCACCCCGUCUGGGAGGUGUACCCAACAGCUCAUUGAGAACGGGCCAUGAUGACAAUGGCGGUUUUGUGGAAUAGAAAGGGGGGAAAGGCGGGGAAAGGAUUGAGAAAUCGGGUGGUUGCCAUGUCUGUGUAGAAAGAGGUAGACACGGGAGACUUUUCAUUUUGUUCUGUACUAAGAAAAAUUCUUCUGCCUUGUGAUCCUGUUGAUCGGUGACCCUACCCCCAACCCUGUGCUCUCUGAAACAUGUGCUGUGUCCACUCAGGGUUAAAUGGAUUAAGAGUGGUGCAAGAUGUGCUUUGUUAAACAGAUGCUUGAAGGCAGCAUGCUCGUUAAGAGUCAUCACCACUCCCUAAUCUCAAGUACCCAGGGACACAAACACUGCGGAAGGCCGCAGGGUCCUCUGCAUAGGAAAACCAGAGACCUUUGUUCACUUGUUUAUCUGCUGACCCUCCCUCCACUAUUGUCCUAUGACCCUGCCAAAUCCCCCUCUGUGAGAAACACCCAAGAAUGAUCAAUAAAAAAAAAUUUAAAAAAAACAAAAAAAAAAACAAAGAGUAUUAGGGUCUAGAAUCAAACCAUCCACAUAAUUUUUGGCAAACUGCUUAAAAUAUCAGAGCUUGAGUUUAUUCAUCUGUAAAUCAGAGCUGCUACAAAACUUUCAUAAGAUAUUUAAUAGAGCACAAAUGUAGGACAAAUGUCCACCAUAUGUUAAGUUCUCAGAAAACUGCUGUUACACUACUUCUACUUUAAAUCCAAUCUUUUUUCCAAAAAGGAGAGAUCUGCAAAGUACAAAGUAGGUGGCUACAGACUUACACUUAGACCCAUCUACAGGCAGCUAGGUUAUAUGCCAAAUAAAAAAAAAAAUCUCAUGCAUGAGGGCUGUGAAUAGUUAAGCAAAUGAACAAAAAAUCUUCACCAGGCACUGUGGCUCAUGUCUGUAAUCCCAGCACUUUGGAGGCUGAGGUGGGAGGAUGGCUUGAGUUCCAGACCAGCCUGGGCAACACAGCGAGGCCCCGCCUCCAAAAAUAUUUAUAAAAAUUAGCCAGGCAUAGUAGCACCUAGCUACUCAGGAGGCUGAGACAGGAGGACUGCUUGAGUUCAGGAGUGUCAGGUUACAAUGAGCUAUGAUUGCACCACUGCACUCCAGCCUGCAUGACAGAGCGAGGCCAUGUCUCAAAAAAAGUUGUAAAAGUAAAAUCAGUCAAUCAAUUUUAUCUUCCAUUUAAACAGGAACAAUAUUGCAAAUUUCUGUCCUUUACUGAUGGCAACUAUGCAAAAAUUUUAAGACAUGUAAGAUCCACACAUGAUUAUAAUAAAAACCUGUGAGGGCCACAUCAUAACCGUACGUAUGCAAAGAGCACACAACUCAAAGGGGAGCAAUUUACACAGAGUCUAACAGCACCCAGGGAGUUAAUUAAGCAGUGCUAUCUUUUCUGUGAGAUGGGGGUCUCACUCUGUCGCCCAGGAUGGAGUGCAAUGGUGCCAUCACAGCUCACUGCAGCCUCAUUCUCUUGGGUGCAAACGAUCUUCCCACCUCCAAGUAGCUGGGGCCACAGGUGUGGCACCACCACGCCCUGCUAAGUUUUUUUGUAGAAACGAGUUCUCACUAUGUUGCCCAGGCUGGUCUCCAACUCCCAGCCUCAAGCUAUCUGCCC
rnacentral:lncRNA from 1 species